rnacentral:lncRNA from 1 species
GAGAAUACUCGGGCCGACGCACUCUCCAGGCUCGCGACAUCCACCUACGGUGCUUUGGGCCGGACACUCGUAGAGAGUCUCGAGCAACCGAGCAUCGAUAAGGCUGAGGAGGUGCUACAACUGACAACCGAGUCAAGCUAGAUGGAUCCGAUCGUUCAGUAUCUGACUGACGGAACCAGCCCCGAAGACCCCGCGGAAGCCAAGC